ensembl:misc_RNA Metazoa_SRP Metazoan signal recognition particle RNA
GCUAGGCGCAGUCACACAUGCCUAUAGUCCCAGCUACUUGGGAGGCUAAGGGAGGAGGAUUGCUUGAGUCCAGGAGUUCUAAGUUGUAGUGCACUAUGUCAUUCAGGUGUCUGCAUUAAGUUUAGCAUCAAUAUCGUGAUCUCAGGGGAGCAGGGGACGACCAGGUCACCUAAGGAGGUAAGAACGGGCCCAGGUCAGAAACACAGCAGGUCUAAACUUCCAUGCUGAUCAGUAGUGAGACUGCACCUAUGAACAGCCACUGCACUCCAAUUUGGGGAAAAGAGACCCUGUCUCUUA